CUAAAAUAGAAAAAAAAUGAAUUCAAUUUAAACCCUAUUCUCACCAGAAGACAUUCUUUAAUCCUUUACAUGCAAAUGGAACAUCCAGUCAGGAUAUUGAGAUAUCCCAAUCUUUGACUCACUUAUAGUCCAUCCAGUGUCUUCCACUGUACCAAUGACUGUCAGCGUCCCACCCAUAUCCUCUCAGCUUUCACAUUUCUAAGCUCCAGUGGUCCUUUCCCUGAGGGUUUUCUCUGGUCCUGGGAGUUCACCUAAUCAUUCAUGGGGCAGACCAGAAAUGCUUAGGAGGUAACAUUUUCUGGCAGCCACCCUCAACCAGCCACUGAGGGAAGCUCUUGGUGGGAAAAUAACCCAGCUGCCUCACCCCUCAAUGGGGACAAUGCUGAAGUGUAUUCUACUGUUCGUCAGAGUUCCCCAGAGGGACUGGUUCCUACUUCUCCAUAUUGGUAACCUGAGAUCACCUGCUGAAUCAACUCUGAUGCCAUAUCCUUGUCUCAGUCUGUUUUGGGAGAACUCAACCUAAGAUAUCCAUCAAAGGCCCAGUUUCACCCUUUCUAUCACCUUUCUCCCCUACAACUUCUGCCUCAAUCACCUAGGGAGCAACAAGUCUCAGAAAAACUUCAGUCUAAGGUGGAAAUGGGAGCAUUCCCUGCCUCCCCUCUUCUGGAUUGUCCUCACUACAGCUCACCUGUAACCUCAUUCCCACCUCCAGUCCCUCCCUCACCCUGACCUCCCCCCUUAAGCCACCAUGCCUCCUGAAAAUAACACCUAUUGCUAAUUCUUGUUCUAAAACAUGGAGCUGCCUUGAUAAAACAGCAGAUGGAAAAGAUAGGUACAGAUCAACUUCCUGCAUACACCCUUUCUCAGUUCACCGAGACCAGAAUUUCCAAGGAACAUCCGGAAAUCCAGACAUUUCCUUUGAUUGUCACAGCUGUGAUACAAAUGAGGUCAUCAAGGCACAGAGAGUUGUAUCAAUCUACCAGGAUCAUUUGGAAGAUUGAACAGUUUGACUCCAUGUGUGAAGAAGAAGGUGGAUAGAACAGAUGCCUUGCAUCUGAUGAGAUGCUUGGGAAGACUUUGGUGGGCUGGAUACUUUUCUUUUCUCAGUACAAAUUUCAAAAUAUAUAUAGGAAAGUAUUUAAAAUAUGUAUGACUUUUAGAGAAUAAUAAUAAAGUGAACAUACAUAUUACCAUUACUCAAAAUUAGAAUAAAGACUAUUGUCAUAAUCUACCAGCUUCAUGGCUGUCUUUGAAUGCAUUCCCCCUUACUCACCUUUAAGGAUAAC